CUGUUGAGGGAGGGGGGAGGGGGGACACAGAGGGAGGAAGAAGCGGCGGCGGCGGCUCCUCUUUGCAGAGGGGGAAAACUCCGAGGGAUAAGAGCAGGAAUAAUGCGGUAGGCAAGGCGGGCUGCUCGCUCCCGGCUCCCGGCUCCGGCAGCAGCAGCGGCAGCCCGAGCAGCGGCAGCAGCAGCGGCAGCACCUCCAGCAGCUGACAGCCCCGCCGGCAGGCUCUCUCGCUGACCGCCGACUGUCAAUGGAGCUGGAAAACAUCGUGGCCAACACGGUCUUGCUGAAAGCCAGGGAAGGGGGUGGAGGAAAGCGCAAGGGGAAAAGCAAGAAGUGGAAGGAAAUCCUGAAGUUUCCUCACAUUAGCCAGUGUGAAGACCUCCGAAGGACCAUAGACAGAGAUUACUGCAGUUUAUGUGACAAGCAGCCAAUUGGGAGACUGCUUUUCCGGCAGUUCUGCGAAACCAGACCUGGGCUAGAGUGUUACAUUCAGUUCCUGGACUCAGUGGCAGAAUAUGAAGUUACUCCAGAUGAAAAGCUGGGGGAAAAAGGGAAGGAAAUUAUGACCAAGUACCUCACCCCAAAGUCCCCAGUUUUCAUUGCCCAAGUUGGCCAGGACCUGGUCUCCCAGACGGAGGAGAAGCUCCUACAGAGGCCCUGCAAGGAACUCUUUUCUGCCUGUGCACAGUCUGUCCACGACUAUCUGAAGGGAGAGCCCUUCCAUGAGUAUCUGGACAGUAUGUAUUUUGAUCGCUUUCUCCAGUGGAAGUGGUUGGAAAGGCAACCGGUCACCAAAAACACUUUCAGGCAGUACCGAGUACUAGGAAAAGGGGGCUUUGGGGAGGUCUGUGCCUGCCAGGUUCGGGCCACGGGUAAAAUGUAUGCCUGCAAGCGCUUGGAGAAGAAGAGAAUCAAAAAGAGGAAAGGGGAGUCCAUGGCGCUUAACGAGAAGCAGAUCCUGGAGAAGGUCAACAGCCAGUUUGUGGUCAACCUGGCCUAUGCCUACGAGACCAAGGAUGCGCUGUGCUUGGUUCUGACCAUCAUGAAUGGGGGUGACCUGAAGUUCCACAUUUACAACAUGGGUAACCCUGGCUUUGAGGAGGAGCGAGCCUUGUUUUACGCGGCAGAGAUCCUCUGUGGCUUAGAAGACCUCCACCGGGAGAACACCGUGUACAGAGAUUUGAAACCCGAAAAUAUCCUGCUAGAUGAUUAUGGCCACAUUCGGAUCUCGGACCUGGGUCUGGCCGUGAAGAUCCCCGAGGGAGACCUGAUCCGCGGCCGGGUGGGCACCGUCGGCUACAUGGCUCCGGAGGUCCUGAACAACCAGAGAUACGGCCUGAGCCCUGACUACUGGGGUCUGGGCUGCCUCAUCUAUGAGAUGAUCGAGGGCCAGUCACCAUUCCGGGGCCGCAAAGAGAAGGUGAAGCGGGAAGAAGUGGACCGCCGGGUCCUGGAGAUGGAGGAGGUGUACUCCCAAAAGUUCUCCGAGGAGGCCAAGUCCAUUUGCAAAAUGCCCAUCCCUUCUCUUCCAGGAAGCCCACCCUGCCUGCGCCACUUGCCCAGCUCACACCACUUCUCCCUCUUGCUUCUCCCGGUGUACACUCGAUGUCAGAGUUGCAAACAGGCAGCGUGUUGGAUGUUCAGCCUGCAUGGUGUUUCAGAAAGAGCUGCUCACCAAAGAUUCAAAGCAGAGACUGGGCUGCCGGGAGGAGGGGGCUGCGGAGGUCAAGAGACACCCCUUCUUCAGGAACAUGAAUUUCAAGCGCUUAGAAGCCGGGAUGUUGGACCCUCCCUUCAUUCCAGACCCCCGCGCCGUGUACUGCAAGGACGUGCUGGACAUCGAGCAGUUCUCCACCGUGAAAGGCGUCAACCUGGACCACACAGACGAUGACUUCUACUCCAAGUUCUCCACGGGCUCCGUGCCCAUCCCGUGGCAGAGCGAGAUGAUAGAAACCGAGUGCUUUAAGGAGCUGAACGUGUUUGGACCUAACGGUACCCUCUCACCGGACCUGAACAGAAGUCACCCUCCAGAACCGCCGAAGAAAGGGCUGCUUCAGAGGAUCUUCAAGCGUCAGCAUCAAAACAAUUCCAAGAGUUCACCCAAUCCCAAGACCAGUUUUAACCACCACAUAAAUUCAAACCAUGUCAGUUCAAACUCCACCGGAAGCAGCUAGUUGGAGCUCUGGCCUUGAAGUCCGCGGUGGGACCAGCCUAGACCCUUGUCCUUAGCAGCAGAACUUGUGGACGGGGGAGCCCUCCAGGAGCCGGGAAGGAGGCCGGCUGCCUCCUUGACACAGAGCCUCCAGGUUUCUCAAAGAGAUUUCCACUCAGGUCUGUCUCCAGAGGUGGCCCUCAAGCCGACGUGGAACAUUGCAAUAGAAAUCCAAUUGGAUACGACAACUUGCACGUAUUUUAAUAGCGUCAUACCUAGAACUGAAUUUUGUCUUUAUUAUUUUUAAAGAAAAGUUUUGUAAAUUUCUCUAUUGUCUCAGUUUACAUUUUGUAUAUUUGUAUUUAAAUGAAAGUCAGACUUUGAGGGUGUAUAUUUUCUGUGCAGCCACUGUUAAGCCAUGUGUUUUAAGGCAUUUUAGAGUGGGCGGGGUGGGGGGGGAUUUAC